rnacentral:lncRNA from 1 species
CGGUGGUCUACCUCUAGCUGUCAUUCCACUAGGUCUUGCACCUUGCAUCUUAUUCUUCUCAUCAAGCUCCGUGCAAUCUCUAAUGAAGUGGUCCUUCGAACCGCAUCCGUAACAGGCCCUGUUAGUAGACUUACCCCAACAUUCACCUAUGUGUCGUCUUCCACAUUGGGGGCAUUCAGGUUUCUCUUGACGAUUAUUGCCCACACUAGCUACCGAAGUAGCUCGGGAGUCCGUCGAUGGUCGUGCUCUAAUGGAAAUUCCCGCAGUCGUCCUCGAUUUAUUAGUGUCCUCCCUGAACUUCUUUACAGCCGAGAACGGAGCUUUACCCGUCGAUCUUUUACGAUAGUCUC